rnacentral:rRNA from 1 species
GACGAACGCUGGCUGCGUGCUUAACACAUGCAAGUCGAACGCUGAAGCCCCAGCUUGCUGGGGUGGAUGAGUGGCGAACGGGUGAGUAACACGUGAGUAACCUGCCCCUGACUUCGGGAUAAGCCCGGGAAACUGGGUCUAAUACCGGAUACGACUAUCGGACGCAUGUCUGGUGGUGGAAAGUUUUUUCGGUUGGGGAUGGGCUCGCGGCCUAUCAGUUUGUUGGUGAGGUAAUGGCUCACCAAGACGACGACGGGUAGCCGGCCUGAGAGGGCGACCGGCCACACUGGGACUGAGACACGGCCCAGACUCCUACGGGAGGCAGCAGUGGGGAAUAUUGCACAAUGGGGGAAACCCUGAUGCAGCGACGCAGCGUGCGGGAUGACGGCCUUCGGGUUGUAAACCGCUUUAAGCAGGGAAGAAGCCUUCGGGUGACGGUACCUGCAGAAGAAGUACCGGCUAACUACGUG